rnacentral:lncRNA from 1 species
UUUGCACUUUCUAGCAAUAAUACGAACUCAAUAUAUUUAAUUACAUACGUAUACGGGCAGCACUUCAAUCAAUUAAUCCUUACUCAAAUUUAUAUUUUCAUCCUAUCAUAAAACCAUUUUCAAUUAACUCACAUCUUAAUACAUUUUUACCAAAAUUACUUACAUCCAUUGCUUAUGAAAUUCCUUCGACUAUAUCACCGGUAACUUAUUUAUGAUGUCACGUGCCUAAUUCAACCUUUCUAAAUAAUUUUCGCCCAAAUCCAUCUUAUAUUUCCACACAUAAUCCACAUAUAUGGCAGCAACAAUUAUUCUCACUUUCACUCGAUUAUUUCUUAGUUUACAUGCAUCGUUAUCUAUCUAACUUUCAAAACUUUGUUUCUCAAUCCUCCAUCCACAAUAUUCCUUUUUUAUUUCUUUCAAACAACAUGCCAUACAAUCUUAAUAAUUUUCAACUAGCUUAGGCAAAUAAAUCCUUUCAACAACCAUAAUUCCUCACAAUAUUCAACUAACCGUAGGCUUUAAAACAUAGUGUUAAGCUUACCGUUUUCCUUUUCCACUUUGAGUCCUUCAUGUACCCAUGGGUUUAUUGGCUUACAUGUUACCAAUUUUUCUCCAAUCAAGCCAAUCUUUGCUACCACAAGACAUUUCUCUAAGUCACUAACUCAUUUUCAAAGACUACUCAAGCCAAAAACAAGAAUUCUUACCGUUCCUUGCUUGAAUCACCAAAACCAAGCUUUUUCUUCCUUUCUCUCUUUUUCUUUCUUCUCCUCCUAGGGUUUUGGUGUGCUGAAAAUUGGGGUUAAAGGCUGUAAAUUUAAUGCUCAAGAAGUUUGGAGAAAAAAGGAAAAGAAAACAUGGAAAGGAAAGUGAAGAAAACUUGAUUUCAUGGUGGAUAAAGAGAAAAAGGCAUGGAAGCUUCAAGAAUGGCGUGGAGCAUGGAGGAGAA